AGAGAGUUAGUCCAACAAAGACCUCUGAUUUCGACUCAGAAGAUCAUGGUUUAAUUCCAUGGCCCUCUU
rnacentral:tRNA from 2 species